GAUAAAUCAUAAAUUGUAACAAAGCACAUAAGGCACCAUGGGAUAAACUGCACACAGAAAAACUUACAUACCUGAAAGACACAAAACAUUCCUACCCUCUCUCUGUCUGAAGGAAAGAGUUGGAAGAGAGGCUACCGUCGCUGGUACGUAACAUGAAGGACAGAAUUGUCAAAGAGCAGGAGAGAGCGGUCAUGCUUGGAAAGCAGGUUCAGCUCCAUGAGUCAGUAAAAUACAGGACAGGGUAAGGAAACACAAUGUCCUGGCUGCAAUUUUUUAUGUCACUUAUUUCAAAUCAACAAGUCACACUUAGGGAUUCAAUCUAGACACAUUUAGUAAUAACACCCAUAAAUCCAGCAUGUUCAUUUUGAUCCCAGCUCUCCUGCUGUUUGUUGUUUUUUUUCCCCCCACCUCUUUUAACAAUAUUCUUACUUCCAGGAUAUUAUGUUGGAUGCUGUGGAUAAGAAGGUGACAGAAGUGCUUUCGUGCUUCGUGGAUUGCCGGAUGCCAUACCUCAACAUCACCAAGAAGCUGUGUAAUGUAGAGUACCGUAUGUCUUUAAUGCUCCAGCAAAUCGAGAGCAUCCCUGAAGACAGGUUUAAGAUACUGAAGCAUAUCCAGGAAACACAAUGGAGGAACAGGCUGCGUGAGGAAAAGCUGCUGCUGGAGAUUGCGAAACGGCAAGAAAAGUUGGUGAAGUACAUGAGAAGAUCUAUGGCUGAAGCCAAGAAAAUUACUGGGAGAAAGCUCAUGCCCAGAUGCUUCCCUGUCAAGCAGAAUAUUCAAGUCCUUGAGGAGGCUCCUGUCUCUCCUGUGGAGGACCUCAAUUCCUACCUCUUCUCUGAGGACUCAGAUUAAAACUCAGUUGCAGUACAGUGGAUGAUGCCUAAAUAAUGGAGAAACAAGAACGAGGACUGACAGAUCCACAUUUAGUGGUUGAGCUGAGUGAACAUUAAGCUGGUUCCACAAUUUGGCACUGAAGGACCGCAAAGGAUGAGAUCACGAUGGGAGUUUCCAUCCAUCCAUUUUCCUCCGCUUAUCCGGGGCCGGGUCGCGGGGGCAGCAGGCGAAGCAGGUCUUUCCAGACGUCCCUCCCUCCAGCGACGCUUUCCAGCUCUUCCUGGGGGAUCCCGAGGCAUUCCCAGGCCAGACGAGAUAUAUACCAGCGAGUUCUGGGUCUGCCCCGGGGUCUCCUCCCAGACGGACGUGCUCGGAAAACCUCCAGAGGAAGUCUCCCUGGAGGUAUCCGAAUCAGGUGGCCAAACCACCUCAACUGGCUCCUUUCGAUGCGAAGGAGCAGCGGCUCUACUAGUUUGAUUCUUCUUAAAAUUUUAGUUUUGCUCUUUUCUCACCUUUUAUUCUUUUCUAAUGUCUGAUUUGAUUUUGAAAUGUUUUGUCUUUUUAAUGUUUGUUUUUUCAAAUGUUUUAUUGGCUUGUUUGAAAAAUGUCCUUUUCUUUCCCAAUGUUUAAUUUUUCGAUUAAAUCUUAAAGGUUUUUCUUUUUCAGUGUUUUAUCACCUUUUAAUAUUUAAUUUGCU